GACGAACGCUGGCGGCGUGCCUAACACAUGCAAGUCGAGCGAAUGAAGUUCCUUCGGGAACGGAUUUAGCGGCGGACGGGUGAGUAACACGUGGGCAACCUGCCUCAUAGAGGGGAAUAGCCUUCCGAAAGGGAGAUUAAUACCGCAUAAGAUUAUAGUACCGCAUGGUACAGCAAUUAAAGGAGCAAUCCGCUAUGAGAUGGGCCCGCGGCGCAUUAGCUAGUGGUGAGGUAACGGCUCACCAAGGCGACGAUGCGUAGCCGACCUGAGAGGGUGAUCGGCCACAUUGGGACUGAGACACGGCCCAGACUCCUACGGGAGGCAGCAGUGGGGAAUAUUGCACAAUGGGGGAAACCCUGAUGCAGC
rnacentral:rRNA from 1 species